rnacentral:rRNA from 1 species
CACCGGCGGCUCGAGUGGUGGCCACUUUUAUUGGGUCUAAAGCGUCCGUAGCCGGCUUGGCAAGUCCCCUGGGAAAUCUGGCGGCUUAACCGUCAGGCGUCCAGAGGAUACUGCCAGGCUUGGGACCGGGAGAGGCCGAGGGUAUUCCCGGAGUAGGGGUGAAAUCCUAUAAUCCCGGGAGGACCACCUGUGGCGAAGGCGCUCGGCUGGAACGCGUCCGACGGUGAGGGACGAAGGCCAGGGGAGCAAACCGG